CUAAUACUCCCUCCGUCUCAUAUUAAGUGCCGAAAUAUUACAUGUAUCUAGAUGCUUUUUAGGUACAGAUACAUUCAUAUUUGGACAAAUUUGAGUCACUUAAUAUGGGACGGAGGGAGUAGUUG
rfam:Brachypodium distachyon strain Bd21 chromosome 3, whole genome shotgun sequence.